rfam:Picea glauca, whole genome shotgun sequence.
GGGGUGGUGGCAUAGUUGGAUAGCGCGUAGGUCUCAUAGCUGCUUGAGGAAUCCUGAGGUCGAGAGUUCGAGCCUCUCUCAACUUA